rnacentral:rRNA from 1 species
GUGGGGAAUCUUCCACAAUGGACGAAAGUCUGAUGGAGCAACGCCGCGUGAGUGAAGAAGGGUUUCGGCUCGUAAAGCUCUGUUGUCGGGGACGAAUGUGCAGUAUUUGAAUAAAGUACUGCAAUGACGGUACCUGACGAGGAAGCCACGGCUAACUACGUGCCAGCAGCCGCGGUAAUACGUAGGUGGCAAGCGUUGUCCGGAAUUAUUGGGCGUAAAGGGAGCGCAGGCGGGAAGGUAAGUCGGUCUUAAAAGUGCGGGGCUCAACCCCGUGAUGGGAUCGAAACUAUCUUUCUUGAGUGCAGGAGAGGAAAGUGGAAUUCCUAGUGUAGCGGUGAAAUGCGUAGAUAUUAGGAGGAACACCAGUGGCGAAGGCGACUUUCUGGACUAUAACUGACGCUGAGGCUCGAAAGCCAGGGGAGCGAACGGGAUUAGAAACCCGUGUAGUCC